CAUGAACAGCUGAUUUUUGGCCCUCAAGCUAUGCUUUCAUCGGCCAGAAAGCUUCAUUUGGCAAGCCAUGGCCUUUCUCUCCUUAUUUAACUUGGCUCGAGGUUGAUGUGAAAGCUGGCUGUAGACAGAACGACUAUAAAGAAUUGCUGUCUGAGCAUGGGAAAAGCAGACUGUGAAACACGGUGGUGCUGGCUCCCCUAUGCCUUCCUGCCUUUCCUCCGCUUCCUGUCAGCCUGUUCGAGUCACAGAGAGACAAGUGAGCAAGGUUCAGUCAGUGUCACGUGCUUCUCCCAGUUCGGCGGCUUCGACUUCUAAAACUGAAUUGUUCCUUUUAUUCAUAUUUGAACUCUCACUGAACUUCUGUCAAUCUGCCUUUGAAGCUCCCUUUGCAAUCCUCAUCUUCCACCAAAGUUGUCCUGACUAAGCAGAAAUGAGAUUGGCUAAAUUUUCAUCCAGCCCAGCUGAAAAGUCACAUCUGUACAUCUCGGGAUGAGAGACUGAAAAGUCUAAAUAUGUUAUCUCUGUCCAUUUAUGGGAUGGUCUGUGUUAUUUCUGUGUUUUUAAGAAAGGCCUACUAACACCUGUGAGCAUUCAAUACUAACUGACAUUGGUCAUGACUGAGGUAAAUCACGGAUAGAGUCACGCAAA